UACGUAGGGGGCAAGCGUUGUCCGGAAUCAUUGGGCGUAAAGCGCGUGUAGGCGGUUCGAUAAGUCUGCUGUGAAAGUCCAGGCUCAACCCUGGGAUGCCGGUGGAUACUGUCGGGCUCGAGUCCGGAAGAGGCGAGUGGAAUCCUGGUGUAGCGGUGAAAUGCGCAGAUAUCAGGAGGAACACCGAUGGCGAAGGCAGCUCGCUGGGACGGUACUGACGCUGAGGUGCGAAAGCGUGGGGAGCAAACAGG
rnacentral:rRNA from 1 species